CCUAGUUAGGCUUGGAAUUGGUGUUUGUGCUAGUUAGGAAAGUUGUAGAGCUUGAUGAGAGGAUUAUUCUGUCAAAAUUUCAUAGGUUUCGGAGGUCGCCGGAAUUGGCCUCCGGCCGCCGCUGCCGGCGGAGCCGCCGGUUUGGGAGAUUUUUAGGGUUUUAAAUGUGGAAUAUUAAGGGGAUUAUAUUGAGGUGAUUUAUGGAAUUUUUGGAUGAGAUUUGGAUAGGUUUGUGAAUUUCCGAAGUUUGGUAUUUUUGGCGGUUAAUUAAUAUAGAAUCCGGCCGUAAGAUUUAAGUCGUAUUUUUGGGGAGGUUAUAUUUACGACUGUCGAGGAUGAUAUUUAAGUUCGGAUCGUUCCGAUUUAAGAAUAUCGAAGUUAGGCAAUGAUGAGCGAGUUAAUGGCUCUCGGUUAAUUUCUGCCUAUUUUGUGUAAAAAUUGGAGUUUCGGCUGGGAACUUAAUAUUAUAUUUGGAACAGGUCGUGAGGAGGCUCGAGCUGACGAGGCCCCAGAUCGACAUCAGGCUUAGGCCUAAUUUGUGAGUGGACUUUUGUUUUAAAUAAUGUGAAAGCGAAAUAAUUUAUGUUGUUGGAGAAUAACCGAAAUUGAGAAUUUCGGUGAGUAUAUAUAUAUAUCCAUAUGUGGAUGAUUAUGAGAAUAAUAUGUAUAUGAGAGAAUGCUAGCUAGCUAUAUGUGCUUUUCCACCAUACUGAGGUAAAAUUCUAUUAUGGUGCGACGUGAGCGUUAGACGCAAUCGUCGUUGCCCUAUAUAAAAAUAAUAAUUUAUAUAGGGGAUAUGCGCGUAUAUUUAUACACCGUCUUUUCCACCAUAAUAAGGUAAAAUGCCAUUAUGGUGCGACGUGAGCGUUAGACGCAAGCGUCGUAGCCUUGUGUGAAUUUUCUAUUUGUUUUUUUGUUGUUUCAAGAAAAUUCAUACAAGGGAUAUGACGAGUGUAAUACAUACAUAUUUUAUUUUAGCCUGAGAUGCUGUAUUUUAUUGAGCAUUGGAGACUGGCCGGAGCUAGUCAUGAAAUUUCCAGUUUUCGUGUUGAGUGUUUUGAGCUGUCGCAUGCAGCAUAUUUUUCUAUGG
rnacentral:lncRNA from 1 species